GUGCCAGCAGCCGCGGUAAUACGUAGGAGGCGAGCGUUAUCCGGAUUUACUGGGUGUAAAGCGCGCGCAGGCGGAUCGGCAAGUUGGAUGUGAAAGCUCCCGGCUUAACUGGGAGAGGUCGUUCAAAACUACCGGUCUUGAGUACAGUAGAGGGAAGUGGAAUUCCGGGUGUAGUGGUGACAUGCGUAGAUAUCCGGAGGAACACCAGUGGCGAAGGCGGUUUUCUGGACUGUAACUGACGCUCAGGCGCGAA
rnacentral:rRNA from 1 species